GUGUCCGUCCGUCCGUCCGCAUCCGCGUUUUAUCCCAACCCCAACAAAAAUAUGUUAUUAUAAAAACAACAUUUUUAGUUAUCUAUUUUUAAAUAGGGUUGGGAUAAAACGCGGAUGCGGACGGACGGACGGACAC
rnacentral:miRNA from 1 species